AUUGAACGCUGGCGGCAUGCCUUACACAUGCAAGUCGAACGGCAGCACGGGAGCAAUCCUGGUGGCGAGUGGCGAACGGGUGAGUAAUAUAUCGGAACGUGCCCGGGUCGUGGGGGAUAACGUAGCGAAAGCUACGCUAAUACUGCAUACGAUCUACGGAUGAAAGGCGGGGGAUCGCAAGACCUCGCGCGAUUGGAGCGGCCGAUAUCAGAUUAGGUAGUUGUGAGGUAAAGGCUCACCAAGCCGACGAUCUGUAGCUGGUCUGAGAGGACGACCAGCCACACUGGGACUGAGACACGGCCCAGACUCCUACGGGAGGCAGCAGU
rnacentral:rRNA from 1 species